rnacentral:lncRNA from 1 species
GCCCGAGGGGUGGGAACGGGGCCGGGCAGGGGGAGAUAAAGCCGGGAUGAGCAGCCCCGGUGCUCCCAGCCCAGCCCGGAGCUGCUUCCCCCCAUCCCUGUGCCAGGUGAACCUAAUGGCCACAGAAAAAAAGAGCUCAUCUCAGCAUGACCAAGAUGAACAAAUGGAGUCCACAACAACUGUGGCUGAUGGCAGUCUGGCUAAGAAAGGCAGAUCAAAGAUAUUGAAAGGUGUAGAAAUGAUAAUUGAAACAUUCGGUAAGUGUGCUGGAUCCCAUUGCUCUUGUCAGAGGCCAUCCUUGGGAACCCUUGGGAUGGGAUGGGAUGGGAUGGGAUGGGA